UACGUAGGUGACAAGCGUUGUCCGGAUUUAUUGGGUGUAAAGCGAGCGCAGGCGGUCUUUUAAGUCUGAUGUGAAAGCCCACGGCUCAACCGUGGAAGGUCAUUGGAAACUGGAAGACUUGAAUGCAGAAGAGGAAAGUGGAAUUCCAUGUGUAGCGGUGAAAUGCGUAGAUAUAUGGAGGAACACCAGUGGCGAAGGCGACUUUCUGGUCUGUAAUUGACGCUGAGGCUCGAAAGCGUGGGGAGCGAACAGG
rnacentral:rRNA from 1 species